GAUGAACGCUAGCGGGAGGCCUAACACAUGCAAGCCGAGCGGUAUUGUUUCUUCGGAAAUGAGAGAGCGGCGUACGGGUGCGUAACACGUGUGCAACCUGCCUUUAUCUGGGGGAUAGCCUUUCGAAAGGAAGAUUAAUACUCCAUAAUAUAUUGAACGGCAUCGUUUAAUAUUGAAAGCUCCGGCGGAUAGAGAUGGGCACGCGCAAGAUUAGCUAGUUGGUGAGGUAACGGCUCACUAAGGCGAUGAUCUUUAGGGGGCCUGAGAGGGUGAUCCCCCACACUGGUACUGAGACACGGACCAGACUCCUACGGGAGGCAGCAGUGAGGAAUAUUGGUCAAUGGGUGCAAGCCUGAACCAGCCAUCCCGCGUGAAGGACGACUGCCCUAUGGGUUGUAAACUUCUUUUGUAUAGGGAUAAACCUACCCUCGAGAGGGUAGCUGAAGGUACUAUACGAAUAAGCACCGGCUAACUCCGUG
rnacentral:rRNA from 1 species